CCUACGGGAGGCAGCAGUCGAGAAUCAUUCACAAUGGGGGAAACCCUGAUGGUGCGACGCCGCGUGGGGGAAUGAAGGUCUUCGGAUUGUAAACCCCUGUCAUGUGGGAGCAAAUUAAAAAGAUAGUACCACAAGAGGAAGAGACGGCUAACUCUGUGACAGCAGCCGCGGUAAUACAGAGGUCUCAAGCGUUGUUCGGAAUCACUGGGCGUAAGGCGUGCGUAGGCUGUUUCGUAAGUCGUGUGUGAAAGGCGCGGGCUCAACCCGCGGACGGCACAUGAUACUGCGAGACUAGAGUAAUGGAGGGGGAACCGGAAUUCUCGGUGUAGCAGUGAAAUGCGUAGAUAUCGAGAGGAACACUCGUGGCGAAGGCGGGUUCCUGGACAUUAACUGACGCUGAGGCACGAAGGCCAGGGGAGCGAAAGGGAUUAGAUACCCUUGUAGUC
rnacentral:rRNA from 1 species